rnacentral:rRNA from 1 species
AACGAACGCUGGCGGCAGGCUUAACACAUGCAAGUCGAACGCACUCUUCGGAGUGAGUGGCAGACGGGUGAGUAACACGUGGGGAUCUGCCCGAUGGUACGGAAUAACACAGAGAAAUUUGUGCUAAUACCGUAUGAGCCCGCAAGGGGAAAGAUUUAUCGCCAUCGGAAGAAACCGCGUCGGAUUAGCUAGUUGGUGUGGUCAAGGCGCACCAAGGCGACGGUCCGUAGCUGGGCUGAGGGGGAGAAAAGCCACACUGGGACUGAGACACGGCCCCGACUCCUACGGGAGGCAGCAGUGGGGAAUAUUGGGCAAUGGGCGCAAGCCCGAUCCAGCCAUGCCGCGUGAGUGAUGAAGGCCUUAGGGUUGUAAAGCUCUUUCGCCGACGAAGAUAAUGACGGUAGUCGGAGAAGAAGCCCCGGCUAACUUCGUGCCAGCCGCCGCUGUAAUAC